AUGUGUGUACCAAAAAACCAAGGAGCCAUGGGCUUUCGAGAUAUACAUUGUUUCAAUUUGGCUUUGUUAGCCAAACAAGCAUGGCGUCUUAUUGAUAAACCGGAGUCUUUAUGUGCCACUAUUUUGAGAACUAAGUAUUUCCCUGAUGGCGACUUGAUGAGUGCAAGUUUAAAGAAGGGUUCGUCCUUUACUUGGCAAAGCAUUAUGGCGGGAGUUAACUCACUGAAAAAUGGUUAUAUUUGGCUAGUUGGAAAUGGUCAAAAAAAUGAUAUUUGGAGAGAUGCAUGGAUUCCUCACAGUACGGAUAGGAAAAUUAUUACCCCUAGAAGAGGGCAACUUUUGUCAAAGGUAGCUGGUCUCAUUGAUCCAGUUAUGAAUUGUUGGGACGAAGACUUGGUGAGACAAACUUUGUGGCCGAUUGAUGCUCAAAGAGUCCUCGCCAUUCCCCUUCCUAUGCAUACCAUGGAAGACUUCAUUGCGUGGAGUUUUACGAGAAAUGGU
rnacentral:rRNA from 1 species